ACUCCUACGGGGCAGCAGUGGGAAUAUUGCACAAUGGGCGCAAGCCUGAUGCAGCCAUGCCGCGUGUGUGAAGAAGGCCUUCGGGUUGUAAAGCACUUUCAGUCGUGAGGAAGGUGGUAGUGUUAAUAGCACUAUCAUUUGACGUUAGCGACAGAAGAAGCACCGGCUAACUCCGUGCCAGCAGCCGCGGUAAUACGGAGGGUGCGAGCGUUAAUCGGAAUUACUGGGCGUAAAGCGCAUGCAGGUGGUUUGUUAAGUCAGAUGUGAAAGCCCGGGGCUCAACCUCGGAAUAGCAUUUGAAACUGGCAAGCUAGAGUACUGUAGAGGGGGUAGAAUUUCAGGUGUAGCGGUGAAAUGCGUAGAGAUCUGAAGGAAUACCGGUGGCGAAGGCGGCCCCCUGGACAGAUACUGACACUCAGAUGCGAAAGCGUGGGGAGCAAACAGGAUUAGAUACCCUGGUAGGCGU
rnacentral:rRNA from 1 species